rnacentral:rRNA from 1 species
GAUGAACGCUGGCGGCGUGCUUAACACAUGCAAGUCGAACGAACCUUCGGGUUAGUGGCGGACGGGUGAGUAACGCGUGAGAAUCUGCCCUCAGGAGGGGGAUAACGGUUGGAAACGACCGCUAAUACCCCAUAUGCUUACUGGUGAAAUGAAUUUCGCCUGAGGAUGAGCUCGCGUCUGAUUAGCUAGUUGGUGAGGUAAUGGCUCACCAAGGCUUCGAUCAGUAGCUGGUCUGAGAGGAUGAUCAGCCACACUGGGACUGAGACACGGCCCAGACUCCUACGGGAGGCAGCAGUGGGGAAUUUUCCGCAAUGGGCGAAAGCCUGACGGAGCAACGCCGCGUGAGGGACGAAGGCCUCUGGGCUGUAAACCUCUUUUCUCAAGGAAGAAGAUAUGACGGUACUUGAGGAUAAAGCCACGGCUAAUUCCGUGCCAGCCGCCGCGGUAAU